UACGUAGGGGGCUAGCGUUGUCCGGAAUCAUUGGCGUAAAGCGCGUGUAGGCGGUCCGGUAAGUCCGCUGUGAAAGUCGGGGGCUCAACCCUCGAAUGCCGGUGGAUACUGUCGGGCUAGAGUGCGGAAGAGGCGAGUGGAAUUCCUGGUGUAGCGGUGAAAUGCGCAGAUAUCAGGAGGAACACCAAUUGCGAAGGCAGCUCGCUGGGACGGUACUGACGCUGAGACGCGAAAGCGUGGGGAGCGAACGGG
rnacentral:rRNA from 1 species